AGCAGAGCGAUCGCCCCGCGGCCAUCAGGCAGCCGGGACCGCCGAGACGUCCGCGGCACGGAGCAGCGGGAUGGGUUGUGCCAAGAAGCGACCAAUGCUGCCUCCGUGCAACGGGAAGCCAGAAACGAAGCUGAGGCUUCGGAUCUGGAGCAGCCGCGAACACAACGCCCCUGUCACACGCAGGAAAUUAGGACGGAUGCGAAAGCGCGAGUCUGUGCUGGAAAAGAAACCCGGUCGGCUUCGCCAGAGCCCUGCAGCCACUUCCCAGCGCUGACAAGGGCCCAGGGCGGAGGAGACUCGAUUCCUCUUUCCUGUCCUUAAAAGGAAAGGAAGUAUCGCUAUUGCUCUGCAAUAUUUUCGUGUUUUUAAACCCCAGAGCCAAGGUCUGGUGACUCUCAGCACAGACUGGGCACAGGCAGGGGCAGGACUCCAAGCAGCGCUCUGCAAACCCGCCCGGGAAAUUCCGGCUGAAAUCAGAGCUCCCCGUCCCCUGCUGUCCCCGGGGGCUG